UAAGAUCAGUGUUCCUUUCCCUACCUGGUUUCCUCUCCACUCCAGCUCCCUCAUCCGCACACACACUGACUGAGGACAUCACUGGCCUUUCUGCUGAAUCCGGAGGUGUGGGAUUUGACAGAACCGGGUCUAGGAGUCAUAUACGUAAAAGUAAACCUGGCAGCAUAUGGACAUCAGCACAGACAGACACACAGAUAUCCAGAUGUACCUACCCCCUUCAGCAGCCAGGAUCCAAAUCACCUCCAGCAGGAGAGUGAAGAACAACAUGGUAUCCCCGGAAGAAGCAGAGAGAGAUCACAAGUAGACGAAGAGGCAGGCAGAGAGAAAGAGAGAGGGAAGCAGGCUUC